rnacentral:tRNA from 1 species
AGAAAUAUGUCUGAUAAAAGAGUUACUUUGAUAGAGUAAACUAUAGAGGUUUAAGCCCUCUUAUUUCUA